rnacentral:snRNA from 1 species
CUCGCUUCUCGGCCUUUUGGCUAAGAUCAAUAUCUGUUCUCUUAUCAGCUUAAUAUCUGAUACGUACUGCAUCGCAGCACCAGCAUAUUAAACUUCGCUUAAUUUAU